rnacentral:rRNA from 1 species
CCUACGGGUGGCAGCAGUGAGGAAUAUUGGUCAAUGGACGCAAGUCUGAACCAGCCAUGCCGCGUGCAGGAAGACGGCUCUAUGAGUUGUAAACUGCUUUUGUACGAGGGUAAACGCAGAUACGCGUAUCUGUCUGAAAGUAUCGUACGAAUAAGGAUCGGCUAACUCCGUGCCAGCAGCCGCGGUAAUACGGAGGAUUCAAGCGUUAUCCGGAUUUAUUGGGUUUAAAGGGUGCGUAGGCGGUCGGAUAAGUUAGCGGUGAAAUCCCGGGGCUCAACUUCGGAAGUGCCUCUGAUACUGGUCGGCUAGAGAGGAGUUGAGGUAGGCGGAAUGUAUGGUGUAGCGGUGAAAUGCUUAGAGAUCAUACAGAACACCGAUUGCGAAGGCAGCAUACCAAGCCACUUCUGACGCUGAGGCACGAAAGCGUGGGUAGCGAACAGGAUUAGAUACCCGAGUAGUC